CCUUCCACACCUGCCCUUACAGGAAGAAGAGAAAAACUAGUCUUUAAAGAACCUGUCUACAUAUCAUCCUGUUAAUCAGGAUCAGAAUCCAAAUAUGUACAUGCCUUAAAGCUCUCUCUUCCAGGUCCUGGUCUGUGUAUAGAACUCAGUGAAAAUGAAUGACAUUCAUAAUUUGAAGGAGACACUGGACUGUCUACUGGUUAAAAUUUCCCUGUGGAGUUCUGAAGACAGGACUUUUCUACAAUGAAGAAGGUUCAUCCUGUGAUUUAGAAUCCAGACUGCACAGGAACAGAAUUUAUGAGGGAGCCUAACAUUUGUCCCCAGACUUUAUGUGACAUUGCUUUAAGCUUUUUCCUGCUCCAUCCAUGGAUGAAUGGCUGACAGGCUGGGGGAAAUGAAACACCAUACCACAUCACAUGCUUUGUUAUAGUCCAUAUUAUAAUAAAGAGAAGGCCUAGAGACACAUGGCUGCUUGGGCCAUGCUGCCAAAGGAACACAGAAUCCUGUCCUCUCCAUCCAUCUGGAAUGCCAGGAAAAUCAAUAUGAGCAUAGAAAUUGUGAGAAAAUAUGAUUGGAACAUGACGCUGUGUAGUGAACAAAAUACCCACCUGCUAUAUACUGCAGUAUAGCAGCCAAUGAUUCUGUUCAAGUUAUCCUUAGCAUUUUGGGAACUUUAAGAGAUAAGCAAGCAAAUGGUCAAUUAUCUGAUUUUAAAAAUUUUUGUGCUUAUAAUCAAUUUGCAUGCUUUAUUAUGUCUGAAUUCAUUUUCUGAUUCCAAGUUUGUGGUUGAUAUGCAUGAAUAAGGUCAAGGCAGAAUCAGACAUUAUGAGAACUCUAUUGCUUUGUCUCCUCUUUGUUGUCAGCUUAGCAUAUUAUAUAAUCAUUUGCACAAGAGUAAGGUCAAAUAGAAUCAUUGUAUGACUUUUAAGGAAUUCUCAUAAAGUUAGCUCUUUUCUAUAGAGAAAAGUAUAUGGACUUCUCCUGGGUAGUAUAAACUCGUAUGACUAGGACUCUGAUUUAUUUCACUGAUGCAUGAAAAAGCUAUAAAUGAGUAUAUCUUACAAAUAGAUACAUCAUUACAGUUGAGAACAAAAUUAUAUGAUACAACAAUCUUUAUUUCUGUCAAAGACCAGCAUAAAAUGAGAGAAACCUACAGCAAUACAAGUAAAAUUAUAAUGCUACCAUAAGUUAUUUCAAUGAUAUAAUACAGUCCAUAAAAUAUAAUGCUGUAAAGGUUGUUGAACUAUAUGUCUAACAUUAAUUAGAAAUUCAAUAUCAGUUUCAUUGUGCUGUAAAAGAAGAAGUAGAAGAAAUAUUGUUAUAACCGCAGGCCAGACAGAUAAAGAUACUUAGUGAUCCAAACAGUAAUGUAAAACUGGUGAAUCAAUUAUUAAAAGAAUAUAGCCACAUACAUCUUUAA